AAACCAUGGUGUGGGCAUUGAGCUUGGUAGCCCUUGAAUCUCUCCCAGGCUUGUCUGAAUCCUUCCAAGUUCUUCUGUUGAAAACUAGAAAUCUCAUUUCUCAGCUU
rnacentral:snoRNA from 1 species